AGUUCUACAAAGGGAAGCUUACAGCAAGCUGAAAGCAUGCUUAUUCUGGCUGUGCCCAAAGCAUGGGCUCUAUCACCAUUGCAAACAACAAGGCCUGAGGAUGUUACAGCCAAUACACUGAGUACACUUUUCAUGGCAUCAGAUCAAAGGAGCUGAUCCUGCCCCUCUGCUCUGCGCUGGUGAGACCUCACCUGGAGAACUGUGUCCAGAUGUGGAGUCCUCAGUACAGGACAGACACAGACCUGUUGGAGUGCAUCCAGAGGAGGGCCUCGAAAAUGAUACAAGUGAGGUGACAUCUCUCCUACAAGGGCAGGCUGAAAGAGCUGGGGCUGCUCCAGGUAGAUUUGAAAGGCCACUACCUUUCAAUAUCUAAAGGGGGGCUGUAAGGAGGAAGGGGACAGACUCUUUAGCAGGGUUUUUAGCUUUUG
rnacentral:lncRNA from 1 species